AUGGGCUAUCAACAGUGAUGGGGCAGGCCCAUCACCGCCGGGUCUAUAACCGAGAGUGAUAAGUGGUAAAAUAAUUUUCUUUUCAGGAUUUGAACUCUAAGACCACAGUAUUUGCAUUCCCUCAAGCAAAACAUACUAGCUGAGCUACUUGAAGUGCCGCAAUUUUUUUAACUACACAAUUUUGAAUUUUGUAAUUAUAUAUUUAACACUAUAAAUGAUUUUAAAUAAAAAAGUUAUUAAUUAUAAAGUUAUAGAUUUUAUUGAGAACCACA
rnacentral:lncRNA from 1 species